rnacentral:lncRNA from 1 species
GGAGGCUGAGCGCACCGGCCAGCUAGCCCCUUUGUGCGGCGGGGGCUGCGGAGUGCUCCCUCCAAGACCGGUUGCACCCCGCUUUCCUGGCCAGGACUCUGGGCGCGGCAGCUACAAAGACGACGCCGGCUGCGCUCGCGGGACCAGAGGGAGGGAGGCUGCGGACGAGUGCGGGGAGGAGUUUGAGAUGGGAGGCGCUUGCAGGGGCUCCCCCAGUUCUGCGCUGUGAGCCGGGGCACAAAGAGCCCUCUGCACUAGCGCCGCAGGACCGCGGACCCGAGUUGGAGGCAUCUGUCCACCCAUGUGGUUCCAGACACGUUCAUGUGGCCACCAUGACCCCGUCGGCAUCACAGGGGUAACCAAGAGAGCAGCAAGUUCCUGGGACAGAGGAGACAGAAGGGAAUUUCCAGGUUCUUCAGGACGUUCACAACCACACUGAGAAGCAUCUUUGCAGAUAAGUAUUUAAACUUACCAGCCCAUAGCCUACCAGCCUGCCCUCUUCUGGUCUGUGCAGGAAAGUGUAGUAUCCUAGAAUGCCAAAGUGGGAGGGGAAAUGGGUGAUGUAGCUCAUUCUCUUUUCUACCUCUAUGGAAGAAAGAAAGAGCCUGUCCCCAUUUUGUGGGGUCCCAGAAAGGGUGAUUUUCACACUUCACAUUUGGCGUUAGGGCUAGUAUUUCACAAACAUUACCGUCUGGAACUUUUGAAGGCUGAGUUAAAUGACUUCAUCUUGUGUACUUGUAGAACUGCUAUUAGAAGGAGGCUGGGGACUCCCUGAUGAUGUGAACCAGCCCUUCUCUUCUCAGUUUCAGCACUUUGUGAUCAUAUUUAUAAACCUUGGACAGGGCUCCUUGGCCUUAGAGUUAAGUGAAGAGUUAACACUGUGACUUUAGAUGCAUUUUUCUCAGUGUAAGUGUCUGAGCUCAUCUCCAGUUCUGGACUCGUGCCCCCACUCCCGGGUGCUGACAGCAAGCUCUGAAGAUAUGCUGAGAGAGCUCCCUGACUCUCCUGACUCAGGUCUGCCAGUUGAUGAAGACAGCACAGUUGUUACCAAAAACAAAACCUGGCAGAUGGUCCUAGGUCAGGAUUAGUGGUCAUUCUCUGGUCUUCUCCAGACUGGUGACACAGGGUGGUCUUAAAAGAGUCCUAGUCCAGCCUCUGGCUCCCCGAAUUUCCUCUGGUGCAUGGGGCAUCAGGAAAGGGCAGGGGAGAAGGAGGGGGAGCAGAAAAAUAACUGAGGCUGGGCAGAAGGGUCCCUUCCAUUUCCCAUCCAUUGCUUCAAACAAUGGGUGAUUACCGUGCACCUUGAGUGAAUGUCAAGGCAGGAAGGGUUCCAGGGCCACCCAGUGUGGCAGGAGCAGAGCUGGGAUCAGAAUUCUGGAUUCCUGACUCUCCGUUCAGCUGCUAUUCAGCUAUCACCAAGCUGCUGAGUUUGUCCUACUUUCUCCUGGGUCACAUUCUGCUGUUGUUGGGAAACAGGGAGUGAGUGAAGGGAACCUGGGAACCCUUCUCCCCUCACCUUUUAAGGAUGUUCUGGGGUGGAAUAAAGAGAGGUGGAGGGUGGGGUGCCUGGGCCCAGCCUCCCUGGCUCCUGGUCCUUCUUUCUUCAGCAGGGAGUUCUGGCAAGGCCUGGGCCUGGGGAGGGGGCCUGGGUGCAGUUUUCUCCUGCGGUGUGGUUGGCUCUUUUGUCUUCCAGGAUGGGCCUGUGGGGUCUGUGUGGGGAAGGAAGGAGCUGGGAGCCUGGGCUGCCUGUGUGUCGGCUGGAUGCUGCCAGGUGGCUCCAUCUGGGCCGCAUCUCCAGGACUCCUGGCCUGGACUUCUCUUUGGACCUCGGGUGACCUUGGAUUCUGGCCACAGUGACUUAGCGGUCAGACUCCGGUGGUUUUCUAGCCCGCUGGGUGACUCCCUGAAGAUCUCAUCCUCUUCACACCUGUUGGGAUGGAGCCUCCCAUGGAUAGGAACUCUUCCUGGUUGAUGCUCAGCAGAUGACUGAUCUGGCUCUGGAGGACAGCUCCAGGGGUAUGAGGGAGGCCUGGCAGCCCACUACUCCCUCCUCACCUGCUCGGGCCCUGCCUGCUGGGCCCUAUUGUCUGGGUCUGGGGGCCCUUUCCUGCCCCAUGUGAACUUGAUUCCUCCUCGCGUUUCUGCCGGUGACCAGACAGAGCCUGGCCUGGGCCAAGUCCCCACUGACCACACUUUCCCCAAGGCUGGGUCUCAAAGGACCCUACAGGAUGGGGACAGGAACAAGGAUGGGAGUCGGGGAGGGGCUGUCAGGCAGAGGGCAGAUGCAGCUCCUCGGGUGCCGCUGGCUGGAGUCCUUUGUCUCCAUUUGCUCAGUGCGUAAUUGUCAUUUUGUGGGGGACUUCCUUGGUGGGGCUUUUCCAUGCUUUUCCUCUCCCUGAUGGUUACAAAGAGGAGACAGUCAGGAUCUGGGAGGAGCUGGAGCCUUCCCCCUGUGCUGUUGAACUCUGGGAGGGGCAGCCAGAGGGGCUGAGAGUGCACCAUCCUGAAAAGAGAGGGUCUUUAAGAGAUAAGAUUUAGGCUAGGGAAAUUCACUAGAAAGAGACAGGUGGCCCUGGGUUUUUUUUCCUGCCAUCCAAAGGGAACCAGUCUUACCCAAAGGCUUAAGGGGUCACCUUAGCCCAGUCUCAGGACACUCUUCUCCAAUCAGAUCGCUGCUUCUAGUUGCACUGCUCCUGGAUUCUGUUCUUGGGGAACAGAAGGUGGCAGGACAGGCCCCACAAUCUGCAAUUCCAGCUCCCUCCAGAGGAGACAGUCCCAGCGUUUGCAAGAGAGCAGCUUGUGGCCUCCCUUAGGCAAGUUUAAAAGCCAGAUGUCCUUUUUCCCAGAAUGCGGAGUGGUGUGUACUAUUCAUCAGCUUGGGCUGCCACAGCACCAUGCCAGACUGGAUGGCUUAAACAUCAGGAAUUUAUUUUCUGCCAGUUCUGGAGGCUGGAAAGUCCAGAUCAAGGUGUUAAGACUUGGUUUCUGGUGAGGCCUCUCUCCUUGGCUUGCAGGUGGCACCUUCUCACUAUGUCCUCACAUGGCCUUUUCUCUGUGGAGAGGGACAGAGAGCAUGAGCAGGCUCUGGUGUCUCCUCCUCUUCUUAUAAAGACACUAAUAUCACCAUAUUAGGGCUUAAACCUAUGACCUCAUUUAACCUUAACCCCUUAAAGGUCCCAUCUCCAAAAACAGUCACAUAGCAGGCUACUGCUUCAACAUAUGCAUUUGGGGGAGGGGACACCAUUCAGUUCUUAACAGGGUGGUCACCGCAAACAUGGAAAGUCAGAGCCUUCUCCCCUUCAGAAUUCCCGCCCCCACCCAGGGAUGGGGAGGAGGAGCAGAGAGGUAUGGGAAGCAGACACGGAGAGUGGCAGGUACCAUGCUGGGGUGGCUCAGGAGUGCUUCGGAGGACAUAUGGAACUGGCAGGGCUCAGUGCAGGGAGGCGGAGGCCCUGGGAGAGCCGUGUCCUGAGAAGGGCCUGGGCUACAACCCUGGGCAAGUUACUUCACCUCUGAGCCUCCGAUGCUCUGUGAAAUGGAAGGAAUGUGCUUGCCUGUCAGGUGCAGGGAGAAUUCAGUGAGAUUGUGUGCCUAGCACAGUGCCUGACUCCCAGUAGGUGCUCAGCAAAUGCUCCCAUCCAUCUGGGAGUAUAGACUUAGGGUUUAUCUAUUUUUUUUUUUUUUUGGCUCUCUGGACUUUAAAACUCAGCAUCUUCUGAACCAGAGGCAUUUCUGAUUAGCCCUUCCCUACCUAUUUUCCUAGUAUCACUCUUUAAUCAGCUUGGGGAGGUGGCAGCAUUUCAUGGCCUCCGUAGUAACUCACAAUGCUUCCUGGGGUAUUUAAAUUCUACUCUCUCAUCAGCACUGAGCACCUACUUUGGGCCCUUUCCCGUGCUAGCCAUUUGGGGGAAAUAUAGGUGAAGAGUGGCUGGGGUUUGAACCUUUAGGAUUUCACAGCCAUGCUGGAUGGGAUAAAACCAGCUCACAUGGAGAAUCAGAGAAUGGGACAGUGCCACAAAACAGUCUACUGAGGCACAAGUUCUGAGUGCCUGGGAAGUGGUAGAGAGACCCCAGAGAGGGCUGCUGCAGUCUGGAACAGCUUCCUAGCAAGCUGUACCAAACAGGGCCUUGAAGGAUGAGAAAGAUCUGGCUGAGAUGAUACCCGACCCUCUAGGGAAAUUCUUAAAGUAACUUCUAGGAAAUGUCAUUGCUCCUUAAAAAAAAAAAAAAAAAAAAAAAAGCAGGUUCUAAUUCAAAUUCCGCUGCACUACUGAAGUAGUGCAGGACUUAUCAGAACCUUUAAAAUGCUAAUGGCAAUUUCAAAUACUCAGGGACAGGGCAUAGGAUGAAGUGUUCCUUGACUUUUAUGGCCGUAGAAUCUUUUUCUCAUGGAACAUCGUUUAGAACUGUGGGAGAUGCUAGGCUGGGGUUUCUAUGGGAAAAGUACAGCAGUGAUAGAAGAUGGCAUAAUUAGGGUACACUUAGGUGCUUUGUAGCAUUGGCUGAAAAGGAAGCAGACCGGGUGGGCGUGGGGGAGUCUCAACUUGGUUCCAGGAGCCAGGCCAGCUUGAUGCGUUUUUUUUUUUUCUAAUGGUGGGAGGGCAGGCCAAUAGUUGGAGAAACUAGAGGCCUGACAGUCGGUGAUGGAAGAGAUGUCUACUAAGCACGGUUGUCAGAUCUUUUGCGGAGAGAUGCGGGUGUGCGUGUGUCUGUCAGAGUGUAACAGGAUCCAGCCCUCUGGGAAGGGGCUGACCAGAACCAGGCAGGGGGUUUCUGUCUAGGACAAGUAGGGUCCAUUUUCAGGGGAGCUGAAAUAUUUGCAGGGGGUGCUCUGAGACCCACAGCCAAUAAAUAGGGAAGCAACAUGCUUUUGGGCAGGGUCCAUGUGGUUAGGGUUGAUUUUGAUGGGGCUGGGGGGCUUAGAGUUAGACCCCCUGCCCUGGUCAGGCCCCACUCCCUGGCUGGUGGGGGCGGGAGGCCUCUGAAGCUGCAGCUGGAGGGGCCGGGGCAGUGUUGCAUGGUGUGAUUAACCUACUAACCCAGGGCUCAGCCGGGACGCUGUGGCGUGUGACGAGGUGCCUGGCCUUCUGCCAACCAACUAACCCACUAACCAGGCCCGAGCAUGCCCUACUAACCACCCCCCCGCAGCCAGAUCCUACUAACUGUGCAGCUCAUGGGCCUUUCAAGGGGCUGGGAUAUGGGGGCAGCCAAGGCUCCAGAAGGCUCUGCCUAUGGGCUGGGAUCUUUGUGCAGACCCACGUUCCAGGACAGAGAAUGCAAAUAAGACUCACCAACUCUGCCACUUCCUGUUGAGUGAGUUUGAGUAAGUCACCUCACUUCUCUCAACCUCAGUUUCCUCAGUGGUAGAAUGCGAGUUCUGAUACCUUACAGGUUGCAGUGAGGAUUCCCGUCAAUAUAAGGGUCUCAGCACAUGGCAGACACCUAAAAAAAAAAAAAGUAUGAGGAUGGAGGAAGGCCCCUCAAACCUGGUUGAACACGUCUGCUGCCUAGGCCCUGGCCUCUCUGGGUGUUCUGCACACAGAUCCUUCUGCCUGGGGCAAGACACUUGGCUUUGAAUCCAUGUCACUUCCCCACAUUCUUCCUCCGUCUCAGCUUUCUUUUCUGUAGGCAGCUCUUUUGUUCGAUUACUAACCCGUCUAACCCCUGGGGUGCCUCAACUGCACCCCGAUCAUCCCUUAACAAACUAACGGACCUGCGUGCGUUCUUCCUUUUCUCUUAGCGACUCCUGUGUGUGUCUGCUGAGGUGCCCUGUCCGCUGGUGCUGUGCUCUGACUUACUAACCCAGCCCCUACUAACCCUGUUUUCUCUUCUUACUAACCCCAGCCCUGCCGAGCUCUGGGCUCCCCCCGGGGGCUGGUCCCCCUCCUUUUGGCAAGCAGAUGACCUGGGGCUACUGGCCCUGUAGACAGAUGUCCCACUUUGCUGCCCCAUAUUGGCUGUAAGAUCAGAGUCCACUGGGCCAGGUCUAAGGCAGGGGAUGGCCCUAUUAACAAGACUCAGAGGAGGAAGAGGUGGUCCUGUGGAUGUGGGAGGCUGGACUCUGAGUAUGACAUCUCUCCUAUGUGCAGAAGUCUGGUUGCCACUGGGAGUAGGUGGGACCAGGGAAAUCUCUGGGACGUGAGUGUGGAGGCCUGUUGGUCUAGACUCUAGACUGUGGAGCUCUGAGCUUUUGUGUCCUCUGGAAGGAAGCUGGGGAAGAAUCCUCUCCAUUGUUAAGUGACGGGGAUAGAAGCUGUCCUGCACAGGAAGUCACGAGGGGGGCGUAUCCCACGAGGAAGGCAGGAGGGGGCGUGCCCCUCACCGGAAAUUAGCAGAGGGGCGUGUCCCACACCGGAAGUCAGAAAGCGGAGCCUUUCUUACACCGGAAGUCAAUGAAGCGGGUCUUUCCUACGCUAAAAACCACUGAGUGGAGUAUUUAGUACACAGGAAGUCGGC